GAUGAACGCUGGCGGCGUGCCUAAUACAUGCAAGUCGAGCGAACAGACGAGAGUGCUUGCACUCUCUGACGUUAGCGGCGCACGGGUGAGUAACACGUGGGUAACCUACCUAUAAGACUGGGAUAACUUCGGGAAACCGGAGCUAAUACCGGAUAAUAUUUAGCUUCGCAUGAAGCAAUAGUGAAAGACGGUUCUGCUGUCACUUAUAGAUGGACCCGCGGUGUAUUAGCUAGUUGGUGAGGUAACGGCUCACCAAGGCAACGAUACAUAGCCGACCUGAGAGGGUGAUCGGCCACACUGGGACUGAGACACGGCCCAGACUCCUACGGGAGGCAGCAGUAGGGAAUCUUCCGCAAUGGACGAAAGUCUGACGGAGCAAUGCCGCGUGAGUGAAGAAGGUUUUCGGAUCGUAAAACUCUGUUGUAAGGGAAGAACAAGUACGUUAGUAACUGAACGUACCUUGACGGUACCUUACCAGAAAGCCACGGCUAACUACGUG
rnacentral:rRNA from 1 species